rnacentral:rRNA from 1 species
UACGAAGGGGGCUAGCGUUGCUCGGAAUCACUGGGCGUAAAGCGCACGUAGGCGGACUCUUAAGUCGGUGGUGAAAUCCUGGAGCUCAACUCCAGAACUGCCUUCGAUACUGAGAGUCUCGAGUCCGAGAGAGGUGAGUGGAACUGCGAGUGUAGAGGUGAAAUUCGUAGAGAUCCGGAAGAACACCGGUGGCGAAGGCGGCCUGCUGGGCAGUUGCUGACACUGAGGCGCGACAGCGUGGGGAGCAAACAGG